rnacentral:misc_RNA from 1 species
UGGUGCAUCGAACUGUUGACGCUCCAUCCGCUUCAGUCGUUCCCCAAGUGAACCUUCUCCUUGUGGGUUUGUGAGGUAUCCUGUGUUGCUUACCAAUGGAAUGGAAUUCGAUGGCUUUGUUACGMGCAUCCGCCUUGUGCCCWUAUGGGUGUGAGGUGGACGUGAGGCAAGCUCUGUGUUCCCAGCAUGCGAAGUGCAUUUGCAUUUGGUUGCUGCGGCCCAUGGGGUCUUUGCUUGUUCUCUUGGAUGCGGAAUGCUAUGUGUGCGCGUGAGGUCUUGACCUCGACUCGUCCAAGCACUAUCUUUUCACUCAAAUGACUGAUGYGCCUGUCUUGAUCUUCCCGACCGAGGCCUCGUAAUGGGGCUUACCGGACGAGGGGGGAACAUGCGGGUGUCAACGUCAAAGAGGAAAGC